AUUGAAGGACUAAUACGUUAAUUAAUAUAUCAGUGCUUAUCGGGAUGUGAGGUACAGAGUUAUAAAGUGCAUAAAAUGUGGCCGCCGUUUCAGUAGUGUCAGCUACUUACCGAGCAACACGCGGAUGCCUCGUACGAUCACUCGAGCAGUUUGUCAAGUUUCUUAGGUUACUGCCGAGAUAAACAGCGGGAUAUUUGCCUAUAUUGGCAAAGAACGCACCACGACAUUCGUCCUCGUCUCGCGUCGUUCUCUCUACGUGUCUCUCGAUAUGCGUAGGUACGCGAAUGGAGCACUCUCGUUCCGUUAGUAUAAGAGAAACGAGUAAAACGUAGGGCUGCGUGCCUGCUGGUAAUCACGCGCCGGGAUAAAGUUAUUCCGGGGCAUAAAUAACCGACAUGUCUGGAAUAAGGCAUUAAUUUAUGUUAUUUAUCGCCCAUUACGCCGUAAAGAAACAUUCACAUGGGAAAUAAUGUAUCAUUCACCACACGCGUCCGCGAACUCAGAAUCAGGAAUGAUUUGGAAUGCCAACGAUUGGAUGGACAGAGGAAGAGACGGACAGACACAUACGGAAGAAUGGAUGUAGCCAAUACUUCUUGUUCGAGUGCAGUCACGCCAUUGAGGACGCUAACGCGAAGGAGCUGCACAGAGAGGGGUUUUUCAUGAAAAGGGAAAAACAAGGGAAAAUUAAAAAGGGAAGGAUAGAGAGUCGGACACAUCGUUCAUUUUACCUUCGCCUGGAAAGCAAAACAGAACCUAUAAAUUCUUCGGCCAAUUGGUAGCGCUGCAGAUUCAGGUGUCUCGAUGCAACGAUGGACGUACCUAACCUAGUUACUUUCGUCUCCGCAGGGAAGCCAAUAUUUCAAGCGCUGACAAGUACAAACUUUGAGGUUGACGGGCAAUGGAUGCUGCUGACCACGGAGAAGAUAAAAACUACAGAAUCUCUAUACCCUGCUAUCAUUGGACCAGAACAUCAAAUACCUAUACUCGAUCAAGGAUCUUUGUUCCAGGAUGUUAACAGAAAAAAAAGAAAGUAAAAAUGUUGAAGGAGAAAACAGGUAGAAAACUAGAAAGGCGGGCUUUCAACUUUUACGACUGGGACACCCUCGAGUGUUGAGGUGCCGGAAAAGAGAGCCAAUUUAUAAAGUGGUUUCUCGUAGCAUUGUGAGGAAAACCGAACGUGCGAACCGGUCACAAAAGGGUCCCACGAACGAAGCCUGGAUAUUUAGAGUGUUUAGACAAGCUGUCACUCGAUGACAAUAGAAAAAUAGAGGGUUUAUGGUGGCAAUAAAUAGCAGCGAUGGGGCACGGGACACCCUGUGUGUGCACAUCUAGCCGUGUCCUAUUUCCCCCAUGGUGGCACUCAGGGGAGUCGACAGGUAUCCAAACGAAGGAAACACUACUCGAUUUCAUUGGACUUCAUACAAUGGACUGCCUGAGGGUUCCACUGUUCGCUUCCAAACUAUCCAAAGGGCACCGGAAAUGACUGUAUAUAAAUAUUCUUUUAAAAUGUUUUUACAUAUUUGCCGGGACCAAGAAUGCUUUCUCUCGCUUUAUUCUCCUGGUACCUUAUUGCGGUCUCUCGGUGCUUAGGUCCUGUUAGAACGCAUCCACAAGCUUCACUUCGUUACCCAGCCGUUUUAACCGUUACGGACGAACUGGAUUACCUUAAGCAGAAAUGCGUCUACGCGUUUACCGGUGCAAUUGAAAUGCUCGCGCGGUCGAACCAUGCGAAAAGCCAUACCGGAAAGUUCAGUCAUUCAGUUUUCCUGUACAACUGAUUAUACGUACAAUGCUAUUCGUUGUACAGGCAUAUCGCAUGGCUAUUUAUAUUUAUGUUCUAGCGCACUGUAAAUAAAUACCUUUUGCCUAUCCGAUGCAGAUUCGUAUUUCAAUGACAGUCAGACACCAGUUGAACAAAGUAUUAAUACGGUUAAUAUUUUAACAGCGUUAUCUUUGACCGGAGCAAUGCAAUUACUGAUUAGCAGCUAUGGACGAUUACGUACGUCGUAGGAACGAUAACGGAGAGCUGACGCGAUGGGAAUACGAGGGUGAUGGCCGAGUGAGUAUGAUGAAUGAACGGUACCUGACAAGCGGCCAUCGCUGCCUCAUGAUUGAUGGUUGCUGUUUCCAUCCCUAAUUAUUUUAUACUUUGCAAUCAGAACGAUAAUCCAUCCGCACUAGCUGCAACCUGUCGCGGAUAAAUCACGGGUUAUCCAGAAUCACGAUUACGUCUAUGCACUUUACACCCACCUAAAUGUAUAUACAUACUCGCUUCAUGAAAUCCUGUCGCUUUAUUUUAUAUUCUAACAAGUGAAUCAAUUGCCUCACGAUUUCUGUCCUAAUAACGGGCUCCCGUUUUUCUUAAAAAUUUCUAAAAAAUUAUUCAACAAUAAGCUUUUUCAAUAGUUCUCGUAGAGUUCUAUAGCUCCUGAUGGGAUUUAACAAUAGUUCUGCUACGUAAGAUCGUUAAAAUACGUAUUUUCCAAAAAUUGACCUGGCACCACUAUUCACGGAUGUUGUCACGUUCCGCCAAUUUGUUCGUGUUUGACUGUCGUUUGUUUUACCUUUUUAAAUUUUAAGAUUAUCACAUUACAAGCAGCUAAAUCGUGAAUCGUUAGUGUCUGUAGAUUUAGAAAAAAAGAAUGUAUGAUUAAUUUUUAAAUUUACUUUCUUUUUCGUAUACAUCUAAAAUUAGGUAAUAUAUAACCAUGCGUGUGCGGGGCUACUUAAUUUUACGAAUACUUAAGUUAUUAAAUUUUUCAUUGUUACUCUGACUUUGAAUAUUCUCAAGUUUGAUUUUUGAGUCUUAAUUAAUGGUAAAGAAUCGCGUUGAGCCAUGAUACGCUUUUAUGUUUUGUUCUUGCAAUGCUUUACGUAGUUGCUGUUUUCACGUAGUGUGCAUCGACUAGGUAUUCCAAUGUAGCCACAAAGCAUGGAACAUUUAAUUGUAUUUAUUUUAUAUAAUUUUAUUAGCUUUAACUCUGUAAUCAUUGUCGAUGUCUUUUCUGGAUGACAAUGUAAUGCUACAGGGACGUCAAUUAAUUGUCGUGGAGUUAAUUUCACGAACUGUCACGCACUUUGUAAUUUAUGCCUCGUGUGACUUUACGGGACUUGCUGGCUAUGAUUUCUAUUUACACUAUCCCAUAGGCUGCGAUUAACGUUUUACAGCCACUAUGACAGACAAAUAUAUUCCUCUUCCGUGUAUACAGCUGAUACCACGACUGUAUAUGAAUGUGUUUUCAUGAAGAAUUUCGAAAUUCAUUUAUUUCUAUGAAUUACGACAAAAUCAAUUUUAUCGAUCGGCUGUUCGAAUCGCGCCUAUAAAAUGGUGAAUUAUUUUAUUCGAAAAACACAAACUACACGGUUAAUAACAGCAUUAAAUUAAUUUUUAUAAUACGAUAUAUUUACGUCAAUAUCGUCGAAAAUACAAAAUUGAUUUUAUUCCCGA